GACGAACCGUACGAACGUUAUUCGGAAUUACUGGGCUUAAAGGGCGCGUAGGCGGCCCUGUUUGUCGCGUGUGAAAGCCCCGGGCUCAACCCAGGAAGUGCACUCGAAACUGCGAGGCUAGAGUACUGGAGAGGUUGGUGGAAUUCUCGGUGUAGAGGUGAAAUUCGGUAGAUAGUACGAGAGGGAACACCGGUGGGACGAAAGGCGGGGU
rnacentral:rRNA from 1 species